AACGAACGCUGGCGGCGUGCUUAACACAUGCAAGUCGAACGAAGUGGCGAACGGGUGAGUAACGCGUAAUCAACCUGCCCUUCAGAGGGGGACAACAGUUGGAAACGACUGCUAAUACCGCAUACUGAAGGAGGGGAUUGCGUCUGAUUAGCUCGUUGGAGGGGUAACGGCCCACCAAGGCGAUGAUCCGUAGCCGGUCUGGGAGGAUGAACGGCCAAAUUGGGACUGAGACACGGCCCAGGCUCCUACGGGAGGCAGCAGGUGGGAAUCAUCCGCAAUGGAGGAAAGUCUGACGGCACAACGCCGCGUGAGUGAUGACGGCCUUCGGGUUGUAAAGCUCUGUUAAUCGGGACGCGGUACCGGAAUAGAAAGCCACGGCUAACUACGUGCCAGCAGCCGCGGUAAUAC
rnacentral:rRNA from 1 species